AGACACAUUUUUCUAUGUAGGUCCCACUGUGUUAGACACAUUUUUCUAUGUAGGUCCCACUGUGUUAGACACAUUUUUCUAUGUAGGCCCACUGUGUUAGACACAUUUUUCUAUGUAGGUCCCACUGUGUUAGACACAUUUUUCUAUGUAGGCCCCACUGUGUUAGACACGUUUUUCUAUGUAGGUCCCACUGUGUUAGACACAUUUUUCUAUGUAGGUCCCACUGUGUUAGACACAUUUUUCUAUGUAGGUCCCACUGUGUUAGACACAUUUUUCUAUGUAGGUCCCACUGUGUUAGACACAUUUUUCUAUGUAGGUCCCACUGUGUUAGACACAUUUUUCUAUGUAGGUCCCACUGUGUUAGACACAUUUUUCUAUGUAGGUCCCACUGUGUUAGACACAUUUUUCUAUGUAGGUCCCACUGUGUUAGACACAUUUUUCUAUGUAGGUCCCACUGUGUUAGACACAUUUUUCUAUGUAGGUCCCACUGUGUUAGACACAUUUUUCUAUGUAGGUCCCACUGUGUUAGACACAUUUUUCUAUGUAGGUCCCACUGUGUUAGACACAUUUUUCUAUGUAGGUCCCACUGUGUUAGACACAUUUUUCUAUGUAGGUCCCACUGUUUUAGACACAUCUUUCUAUGUAGGCCCCACUGUGUUAGACACAUCUUUCUAUGUAGGCCCCACUGUGUUAGACACAUUUUUCUAUGUAGGUCCCACUGUGUUAGACAC